UUUUAUGAGAGUUUGAUCCUGGCUCAGGACGAACGCUGGCGGCGUGCCUAAUACAUGCAAGUCGAACGCUUCUUUUUCCACCGGAGCUUGCUCCACCGGAAAAAGAGGAGUGGCGAACGGGUGAGUAACACGUGGGUAACCUGCCCAUCAGAAGGGGAUAACACUUGGAAACAGGUGCUAAUACCGUAUAACAAUCGAAACCGCAUGGUUUUGAUUUGAAAGGCGCUUUCGGGUGUCGCUGAUGGAUGGACCCGCGGUGCAUUAGCUAGUUGGUGAGGUAACGGCUCACCAAGGCCACGAUGCAUAGCCGACCUGAGAGGGUGAUCGGCCACAUUGGGACUGAGACACGGCCCAAACUCCUACGGGAGGCAGCAGUAGGGAAUCUUCGGCAAUGGACGAAAGUCUGACCGAGCAACGCCGCGUGAGUGAAGAAGGUUUUCGGAUCGUAAAACUCUGUUGUUAGAGAAGAACAAGGAUGAGAGUAACUGUUCAUCCCUUGACGGUAUCUAACCAGAAAGCCACGGCUAACUACGUGCCAGCAGCCGCGGUAAUACGUAGGUGGCAAGCGUUGUCCGGAUUUAUUGGGCGUAAAGCGAGCGCAGGCGGUUUCUUAAGUCUGAUGUGAAAGCCCCCGGCUCAACCGGGGAGGGUCAUUGGAAACUGGGAGACUUGAGUGCAGAAGAGGAGAGUGGAAUUCCAUGUGUAGCGGUGAAAUGCGUAGAUAUAUGGAGGAACACCAGUGGCGAAGGCGGCUCUCUGGUCUGUAACUGACGCUGAGGCUCGAAAGCGUGGGGAGCAAACAGGAUUAGAUACCCUGGUAGUCCACGCCGUAAACGAUGAGUGCUAAGUGUUGGAGGGUUUCCGCCCUUCAGUGCUGCAGCUAACGCAUUAAGCACUCCGCCUGGGGAGUACGACCGCAAGGUUGAAACUCAAAGGAAUUGACGGGGGCCCGCACAAGCGGUGGAGCAUGUGGUUUAAUUCGAAGCAACGCGAAGAACCUUACCAGGUCUUGACAUCCUUUGACCACUCUAGAGAUAGAGCUUCCCCUUCGGGGGCAAAGUGACAGGUGGUGCAUGGUUGUCGUCAGCUCGUGUCGUGAGAUG
rnacentral:rRNA from 1 species